rnacentral:rRNA from 1 species
AUACGGAGGGUGCAAGCGUUAUUCGGAAUCACUGGGCGUAAAGGACGCGUAGGCGGGUUGGCAAGUCAGAUGUGAAAUCCUACAGCUUAACUGUAGAACUGCAUUUGAAACUGCUAACCUAGAGUAUGGGAGGGGGAGAUGGAAUUAGUGGUGUAGGGGUAAAAUCCGUAGAUAUCACUAGGAACACCGAAAGCGAAGGCGAUCUCCUGGAACAUAACUGACGCUAAGGCGUGAAUGCGUGGGGAGCAAACAGGAUUAGAAACCCCAGUAGUCC